rnacentral:hammerhead_ribozyme from 1 species
AGUUAGCUGACGAGUCCCAAAUAGAACGAAAUGCGCGUCCUGGAU